GACGAACGCUGGCGGCGUGCUUAACACAUGCAAGUCGUACGGUAAGGCCCUUUCGGGGGUACACGAGUGGCGAACGGGUGAGUAACACGUGAGUAACCUGCCCACAACUUUGGGAUAACGCUAGGAAUCUGGUGCUAAUACUGGAUAUGUGCUCCUGCUGCAUGGUGGGGGUUGGAAAGCUCCGGCGGUUGUGGAUGGACUCGCGGCCUAUCAGCUUGUUGGUGGGGUAGUGGCCUACCAAGGCGGCGACGGGUAGCCGGCCUGAGAGGGUGACCGGCCACAUUGGGACUGAGAUACGGCCCAGACUCCUACGGGAGGCAGCAGUGGGGAAUAUUGCACAAUGGGCGCAAGCCUGAUGCAGCAACGCCGCGUGCGGGAUGACGGCCUUCGGGUUGUAAACCGCUUUCAGCAGGGACGAAGCUUUUUGUGACGGUACCUGCAGAAGAAGCACCGGCUAACUACGUG
rnacentral:rRNA from 1 species